UACGUAGGGGGCAAGCGUUGUCCGGAAUUAUUGGGCGUAAAGAGCGUGUAGGCGGUCCGGUAAGUCGGCUGUGAAAAGCCCCAGGGCUCAACCCUGGGAUGCCGGUCGAUACUGCCGGACUAGAGUUCGGAAGAGGCGAGUGGAAUUCCCGGUGUAGCGGUGAAAUGCGCAGAUAUCGGGAGGAACACCUAUGGCGAAGGCAGCUCGCUGGGACGUUACUGACGCUGAGAACGCGAAAGCGUGGGGAGCAAACAGG
rnacentral:rRNA from 1 species